AUUGAACGCUGGCGGCAUGCCUUACACAUGCAAGUCGAACGGCAGCACGGGAGCUUGCUCCUGGUGGCGAGUGGCGAACGGGUGAGUAAAGCAUCGGAACGUAUCCGGAAGUGGGGGAUAACGUAGCGAAAGUUACGCUAAUACCGCAUAUUCUGUGAGCAGGAAAGAGGGGGAUCGCAAGACCUCUCGCUUUCGGAGCGGCCGAUGUCGGAUUAGCUAGUUGGUGGGGUAAAGGCUCACCAAGGCAACGAUCCGUAGCGGGUCUGAGAGGAUGAUCCGCCACACUGGAACUGAGACACGGUCCAGACUCCUACGGGAGGCGGCAGUGGGGAAUUUUGGACAAUGGGCGCAAGCCUGAUCCAGCCAUGCCGCGUGAGUGAAGAAGGCCUCGGUUGUAAG
rnacentral:rRNA from 1 species